rnacentral:misc_RNA from 1 species
CAAAUGUUGAAGCCCCUCACGGGGUCCUUCUCCACCCUUUGUGUAUCAUUACCUGUUGCCUUGGUAGGCCGCCCUCGCGGCGCCGGCUCCGGCUGGAGAGUGCCUGCCAGAGGACCCAAAACUCUUUGUAUUAGUGAUGUCUGAGAACUAUUUAAUAGUUA